AGUGAACGCUGGCGGUAGGCCUAACACAUGCAAGUCGAACGGCAGCACAGUAAGAGCUUGCUCUUACGGGUGGCGAGUGGCGGACGGGUGAGGAAUACAUCGGAAUCUACUUUUUCGUGGGGGAUAACGUAGGGAAACUUACGCUAAUACCGCAUACGACCUACGGGUGAAAGCAGGGGAUCUUCGGACCUUGCGCGAUUGAAUGAGCCGAUGUCGGAUUAGCUAGUUGGCGGGGUAAAGGCCCACCAAGGCGACGAUCCGUAGCUGGUCUGAGAGGAUGAUCAGCCACACUGGAACUGAGACACGGUCCAGACGCCUACGGGAGGCAGCAGUGGGGAAUAUUGGACAAAGGGCGCAAGCAUGAUACAGCCAUACCGCGUGGGUGAAGAAGGCCUUCGGGUUGUAAAGCCCUUUUGUUGGGAAAGAAAAGCAGCAGGUUAAUACCCCGCUGUUCUGACGGUACCCAAAGAAUAAGCACCGGCUAACUUCGUG
rnacentral:rRNA from 1 species